GAUGAACGCUAGCUACAGGCUUAACACAUGCAAGUCGCGGGGCAGCAUGGGGGUUGCUUGCAAUCCCCGAUGGCGACCGGCGCACGGGUGAGUAACGCGUAUCCAACCUGCCCUUCACCACGGGAUAACCCGGCGAAAGUCGGACUAAUACCGUACGUUGUCCAUUGACGGCAUCCGAUUUGGACGAAAGGUUUGGCGGUGAAGGAGGGGGAUGCGUCCGAUUAGCUGGACGGCGGGGUGACGGCCCACCGUGGCGACGAUCGGUAGGGGUUCUGAGAGGAAGGUCCCCCACACUGGAACUGAGCCACGGUCCAGACUCCUACGGGAGGCAGCAGUGAGGGAUAUUGGUCAAUGGGCGUAAGCCUGAACCAGCCAAGUAGCGUGCAGGAUGACGGCCCUAUGGGUUGUAAACUGCUUUUAUGCGGGGAUAAAGUGGCCCACGUGUGGGUUUUUGCAGGUACCGCAUGAAUAAGAACCGGCUAAUUCCGUG
rnacentral:rRNA from 1 species